GCCUGUGGCUCAGUGGUUAGAGUGUUGGCCCGAGGACCAAAGGAUUGUGGGUUUGAUUCCCAGUCAAGGGCA
rnacentral:tRNA from 1 species